AAGGAACGAUCGAGGCUAAGGACCAGGGAACUCUGGCGCGAAGUAGCAGAGUGUGUGAGUAGGUAUCAAGAUUAUGCAAUAUUUUUUCCAAUCAUCUCUGUAUUAUCAAAGAGACAAUGAAAUUGCCGUAGGAGUGGAUAUCGAUGGCGCUCAAAAAAGAUGGAAAUCACUUAGGGAUACAUGUACGAACUUGAUUGCAAGUGAGAGUAAGCCGAGUGGGUCGGCUGCAUAAAUUAAGCGCGUAAAGUGGCGCUUCUAUGAUCAGUUGGCGUUUAUUCGCGAUUUCAUUGUCGCGAAAAAAAAAAUUAUCAGCGAAGCGCCGAGGCCAGCGAUGCCAUCCGACUGCGAAACUGACGCUAGUCAGGUCGGUCAUCCCAAGAAGAAGACGAAACGUGAGAACUUUUUUCGUUCGAACCUAUUCAAUAACGAUAGUUGUGUUUUUUGUCUUCAUUGAGUUUCUAUUCUAUAGGAUCAUCAGAGACAGAAAAUGCCUUGUUGCAAGUUGUGGCUGACGCAGCAAAGACGGUCCCUCUUACGGAGCUACCUCAACGUCCCCCACUAGAUGUGAAAAGGCACCUUUAGAUUGCAAGACUGGCUUCGAACAGUAUGAAUACAACAUGCUUAAAAAUUUACAUCUUCACGCAUUCAAAAGGUUUCAAAAUGUACUUCCAACAGAGCGAAUACAAGUACUUCCAUAUUUACAUGCUUAUAAAUUUACAUAUUCACAUGCUUAAAAAUUUACAAAUUUACAUCUUUAUACAAUAGAGUGAAUACAACUAUCCAUGUAUUCGAUAUUUACAUAUGGAGUAGAUUCAAUAUACACUCCUCAAAACAAUUAAAGCAACACCCAACCUCUGAGCGAAAAAUAGCGAAUUUUUAAACGGCUGUAUCUUUGAAGCAGAA
rnacentral:misc_RNA from 1 species